GUGCCAGCCGCCGCGGUAAGACAGAGGGUGCAAACGUUGUUCGGAAUUACUGGGCGUAAAGCGCGUGUAGGCUGCCUUGUAAGUCAGGUGUGAAAGCCCUGGGCUCAACCCAGGAAGUGCACUUGAAACUACAAGGCUUGAGUUCUGGAGAGGAUGGCGGAAUUCUCGGUGUAGAGGUGAAAUUCGUAGAUAUCGAGAGGAACACCGGUGGCGAAGGCGGCUAUCUGGACAGUGACUGACGCUGAGACGCGAAAGCGUGGGGAGCAAACAGGAUUAGAAACCCUCGUAGUCC
rnacentral:rRNA from 1 species